rnacentral:rRNA from 1 species
GAUGAACGCUGGCGGCGUGCCUAAUACAUGCAAGUCGAGCGAACGGACGAGAAGCUUGCUUCUCUGAUGUUAGCGGCGGACGGGUGAGUAACACGUGGAUCACCUACUUAUAAUACUGGGAUAACUUCGGGAAACCGGAGAUAAUACCGGAUGAUAUUUUGAACCGCAUGGUUCAAAAGAGAAAGACGGUCUUGCUGUCACUUAUAGAUGGAUCCGCGCUGCAUUAGCUAGUUGGUAAGGUAACGGCUUACCAAGGCAACGAUGCAUAGCCGACCUGAGAGAGUGAUCGGCCACAUUGGAACUGAGACACGGUCCAGACUCCUACGGGAGGCAGCAGUAGGGAAUCUUCCGCAAUGGGCGAAAGCCUGACGGAGCAACGCCGCGUGAGGGAUGAAGGUCUUCGGAUCGUAAGACUCUGUUAUUAGGGAAGAACAUAUGUGUAAGUAACUGUGCACAUCUUGACGGUACCUAAUCAGAAAGCCACGGCUAACUACGUG